AUUGAACGCUGGCGGCAGGCCUAACACAUGCAAGUCGAACGAGUGGCGGACGGGUGAGUAAUGUCUGGGAAACUGCCCGAUGGGGGGGGAUAACUCCUGGAAACGGUAGCUAAUACCGCAUACCAUCGGAUGUGCCCAGAUGGGAUUAGGUAGUAGGGGGGGUAACGGCUCACCUAGGCGACGAUCCCUAGCUGGGCUGAGAGGAUGACCAGCCACACUGGAACUGUGACACGGUCCAGAAUCCUACGGGAGGCAGCAGUGGGGAAUAUUGCACAAUGGGCGCAAGCCUGAUGCAGCCAUGCCGCGUGUAUGAAGAAGGCCUUCGGGUUGUAAAGUACUUUCAGCGAGGAGGCGUUACUCGCAGAAGAAGCACCGGCUAACUCCGUGCCAGCAGCCGCGGUAAUUC
rnacentral:rRNA from 1 species